GAUGAACGCUGGCGGCGUGCUUAACACAUGCAAGUCGAACGGGAAACCUUUUAUUGAAGCUUCGGCAGAUUUAGCUGGUUUCUAGUGGCGGACGGGUGAGUAACGCGUGGGUAACCUGCCUUAUACAGGGGGAUAACAACCAGAAAUGGUUGCUAAUACCGCAUAAGCGCACAGGACCGCAUGGUCCGGUGUGAAAAACUCCGGUGGUAUAAGAUGGACCCGCGUUGGAUUAGCUAGUUGGCAGGGUAACGGCCUACCAAGGCGACGAUCCAUAGCCGGCCUGAGAGGGUGAACGGCCACAUUGGGACUGCGACACGGCCCAGACUCCUACGGGAGGCAGCAGUGGGGAAUAUUGCACAAUGGGGGAAACCCUGAUGCAGCGACGCCGCGUGAAGGAAGAAGUAUCUCGGUAUGUAAACUUCUAUCAGCAGGGAAGAUAGUGACGGUACCUGACUAAGAAGCCCCGGCUAACUACGUG
rnacentral:rRNA from 1 species